GCCGAAGCCCCACUGCUAGCCCGCCCUUCCGUCGCUGGGCUGGGCCUCGGCCUCCUGCCGGGCAGUUGGCAGAGCACUGGACAGCCCGAGGACUGCUUUCUUCACAGGCCUCAUGUCUGCCGUUCCCCUUUAGCGGCUCCUCAAUGGUGCCCAUGAGGCCCUGUCAGCGCCUUGGCGCUGUGUUUCUGGCUAAUAACGAGUCAAAGCGCAUUCAGCUCCCUGUCUCUGGGUUCCUCAUCGCUCGCUUAGUCUGUCAGCCUUCAGCGUUCCUUUCAGCUCACUGGCACAGUGAGCUAGGUGAUGAAACCCCUGCAAUGCUGCCAGCUGACUACAGCAGGGAGUGCUUUUUCCCAUCUUUUUCCCUGGAGAUUUCUGUGCUGGGUGCCUCAGGGAUGUAGGAGGGUAUCUCUGUGCCUGAGAUGAGCGGUCGGUGCUCAGAAAUAGAGGCUUAUUAAGUAUGCAUUCAUAUUCCCUCAUGAUUCAGCUCCCUGUUAUUUAAAUAUGAAAAAUUAAUCCAUUGCUUAAGUCCCAGAAGACUUAGAAUUAUCUGUGUGUGGUAUAAACGGUUCAUUUUAGUGUCUGUAGCUGAAAACAAAGUAAAGCGGAGGUGGGAGUCCGCAGCAAACUCACUUUUGCUGUUCUAAGCUUUUGAAUGCAAACGUUUUCUUUACAAAUUCCUCCUUAUGAAGGAGGCUGUUUACUACCUGGCUUCUCAAAGAGAACAGAGCAAUUGUUGCUGGAGAGCUUUAUGUUCUUGAUGUUCUCUCAAGACUGUUGUGGAAAAUAGAAUCAUAGAAUUAUUAAGGUUGGAAAAGACCACUCAGAUCACCUAGUCCAACCAUCAACCCAUCACCUCUAUGCCCACUAAACCAUGUUAAAACUCAUGCUGUUUCAUUGUUAUGAACUCCUGCACUUUGUUUUUACUAACACCCAAAUGCUAAGUUCUUAAAACUUAGGCACCUGCUUAACCGUAGGGCAAAAUCCCAUUGAGUUCACUGGAACUGUUGUGUGACAGGAGGGUGAGCUUUGGACUGCAGAUUGCCUGGGGUGCUUGUAGGGAAGAAUUCCAGUGGGACAGCAUGUACCUCUUUUCUAAGGACAAGAUCAGGACCUGAGAACCAAACCACGUUGUCAUGUGAAGCUUGGCUGUGAAAAUACCUGUCUGCUGCUGUGCGAAAUUGCCAGCAGUUGGAACACCAACAGAUCAGUCUGUAGGAGCAAUGUCGAUUUUUGAAGUUUGUACACAUGACCCCAUUUAACAGAGAGGGAGCUAAGAAGUAAGAGAUGAAAUGAUGUGCUCUGGAC
rnacentral:lncRNA from 1 species